rnacentral:rRNA from 1 species
GACGAACCGAGCGAACGUUGUUCGGAAUCACUGGGCUUAAAGGGCGCGUAGGCGGGUGCUCAAGUCCGGGGUGAAAUCCUCCAGCUCAACUGGAGAACUGCCUCGGAUACUGGGUGCCUCGAGUGUGGUAGGGGUGCGCGGAACUAUCGGUGGAGCGGUGAAAUGCGUUGAUAUCGAUAGGAACUCCGGUGGCGAAGGCGGCGCACUGGACCACAACUGACGCUGAGGCGCGAAAGCCAGGGGAGCAAACGGGAUUAGAUACCCCGGUAGUCCUGGCCCUAAACGAUGGGUACUAGCUAGUAGGGUUCACAUGGCUUUACUGGCGAAGCAAAAGUGCUAAGUACCCCGCCUGGGGAGUAUGGUCGCAAGGCUGAA